CACUCCAGCCUGGUCAACAGGAGUCAAACCUUGUCUCAAAAAAUUAAAAACAUGAAACUUAGUUUCAAAACACAAAUAAUACUAUUCAAUCUAGAUAUGAACUUUUUUUCAGUUGUAUGGUGGAAAGGAUUGCCAGUUGUAGAACACUAAACUAGACUGCUUUUUGCUUAAUCUAUAGGAAGAAAAUGAAAAAAGAAGUCAUCAUAAAGACCACUCAGAUAGUGAAUCUACAUCGUCAGAUAAUUCUGGGAGGAGGAGGAAAGGACCCUUUAAAACCAUAAAGUUUGGGACCAAUAUUGACCUAUCUGAUGACAAAAAGUGGAAGUUGCAGCUACAUGAGCUGACUAAACUUCCUGCUUUUGUGCGUGUCGUAUCAGCAGGAAAUCUUCUAAGCCAUGUUGGUCAUACCAUAUUGGGCAUGAACACAGUUCAACUAUACAUGAAAGUUCCAGGGAGCAGAACACCAGAAAUAAUUUGAAUUUCCUAAUGGGUUCUUGGUGGCCCAAUCUUGAAGAUCUUUAUGAAGCAAAUGUUCCAGUGUAUAGGUUUAUUCAGCGACCUGGAGAUUUGGUCUGGAUAAAUGCAGGCACUGUUCAUUGGGUUCAGGCUAUUGGCUGGUGCAACAACAUUGCUUGGAAUGUUGGUCCACUUACAGCCUGCCAGUAUAAAUUGGCAGUGGAACGGUACGAAUGGAACAAAUUGCAAAGUGUGAAGUCAAUAGUACCCAUGGUUCAUCUUUCCUGGAAUAUGGCACGAAAUAUCAAGGUCUCAGAUCCAAAGCUUUUUGAAAUGAUUAAGAUAUUUUCAUUGUCUCCGAAUUUUAGAGCUGAAAAGUGCCUUAGAGAUCAUCUAGUUCAACCUCUCCGUUCAAAUGGAGAACCUGAGCCACUAAGAUUCACAGGAGAGUAAGAUAAUUGAGCAAACAACUCCAAGUAAUGACAGAAAAUUAUAGGAGAAUCAGUACAAAUUGUAUUGUCUUCUAAGAACUCUGAAGCAAUGUCAGACAUUGAGGGAAGCUCUCAUUGCUGCAGGAAAAGAGAUUAUAUGGCAUGGGCGGACAAAAGAAGAACCAGCUCAUUACUGUAGCAUUUGUGAAGUGGAGGUUUUUGAUCUGCUUUUUGUCACUAAUGAGAGUAAUUCACGAAAGACCUACAUAGUACAUUGCCAAGAUUGUGCACGAAAAACAAGCGGAAACUUGGAAAACUUUGUGGUGCUAGAACAGUACAAAAUGGAGGACCUGAUGCAAGUCUAUGACCAAUUUACAUUA
rnacentral:lncRNA from 10 species